CCUACACAUGCAGUCGAACGGAGUUCUUCGGAACUUAGUGGCGGACGGGUGAGUAACACGUGAGAACCUACCUUCAGAAUGGGGACAACAGUUGGAAACGACUGCUAAUACCCAAUGUGCCGAAAGGUGAAAGAUUUAUCGUCUGAAGAUGGGCUCGCGUCUGAUUAGCUAGAUGGUGGGGUAAGAGCCUACCAUGGCAACGAUCAGUAGCUGGUCUGAGAGGAUGAGCAGCCACACUGGGACUGAGACACGGCCCAGACUCCUACGGGAGGCAGCAGUGGGGAAUUUUCCGCAAUGGGCGAAAGCCUGACGGAGCAAUACCGCGUGAGGGAGGAAGGUCCUUGGAUUGUAAACCUCUUUUAUCAGGGAAGAAGUUCUGACGGUACCUGAUGAAUAAGCAUCGGCUAACUCCGUGCCAGCAGCCGCGGUAAUACGGAGGAUGCAAGCGUUAUCCGGAAUUAUUGGGCGUAAAGCGUCCGUAGGUGGUUAUGCAAGUCUGCCGUUAAAGAAUGGAGCUUAACUCCAUAGGAGCGGUGGAAACUGCAAAACUAGAGUACAGUAGGGGUAGCAGGAAUUCCCAGUGUAGCGGUGAAAUGCGUAGAUAUUGGGAAGAACAUCGGUGGCGAAAGCGUGCUACUGGGCUGAAACUGACACUGAGGGACGAAAGCUAGGGUAGCGAAAGGGAUUAGAUACCCCUGUAGUCCUAGCCGUAAACGAUGGAUACUAGGCGUGGCUUGUAUCGACCCGAGCCGUGCCGAAGCUAACGCGUUAAGUAUCCCGCCUGGGGAGUACGCACGCAAGUGUGAAACUCAAAGGAAUUGACGGGGGCCCGCACAAGCGGUGGAGUAUGUGGUUUAAUUCGAUGCAACGCGAAGAACCUUACCAAGGCUUGACAUCCCUGGAAUCCUGCGGAAACGUGGGAGUGCCUUAGGGAGCCAGGAGACAGGUGGUGCAUGGCUGUCGUCAGCUCGUGUCGUGAGAUGUUGGGUUAAGUCCCGCAACGAGCGCAACCCUCGUUUUUAGUUGCCAUCAUUAAGUUGGGCACUCUAGAGAGACUGCCGGUGACAAACCGGAGGAAGGUGGGGAUGACGUCAAGUCAUCAUGCCCCUUACGCCUUGGGCUACACACGUACUACAAUGGUCGGGACAACGGGCAGCGAGCUCGCGAGAGUAAGCGAAUCCCAUCAAACCCGGCCUCAGUUCAGAUUGCAGGCUGCAACUCGCCUGCAUGAAGGAGGAAUCGCUAGUAAUCGCAGGUCAGAAUACUGCGGUGAAUUCGUUCCCGGGCCUUGUACACACCGCCCGUCACACCAUGGGAGCUGGUCACGCCCGAAGUCGUUACUCUAACCUUAGGGAGGAGGGCGCCGAAGGCAGGGCUAGUGACUGGGGUGAAGUCGUAACAAGGUAGCCGACC
rnacentral:rRNA from 1 species